ACUUACAAGAUCAUUUGUAAUGCAGGUCAUCACUCAUAAAGAGUAAUGUUGAUUUUUUUUUGUCUCUCCUCGAAAUAUGCAGGAGUAAUGUAAUGGAAACAAAUAAUCAGAAUAAAUGAAACAGAAUAAAAGAGAGUCAUGCAGAAUAAUGUCCUAUGAGUUUUGUCUGACUGCUCAAACUUACUCAAGGCUACUUGAAUCUCCGUCUGUAGUUGAAGUGGUGAGACAAUUAUCACGUCUGGUUUUUAAACCUCUUCAGGGCUCAUGUGGAUUGCCGUGAGCCAAUUUGCUGCGCGCUGCCACACAUGUUAUUCACAAUCCAUUUGUAGCAUGUCAAGCCUCCCUGUCAGGUUCCUAUCCUGACAAUCUUUUCGUUGAUACUGUUUCUUUAAAAACAAAGUUCCUGCACGGAUUAUAAUUUACCACCCCUCUUUUUUCCCCCUCUUUUCUUCUCCCCUGUUCUCCUCUAACUUUUCUGCAACGCAAUACACUCGCAGCCUCGUAGUCCACAAGGGAGAAAAGAUCCCUACAUAGACACAGAAAUUCUUAUAGACAAGCCACAUCAAUAUGCUGAGCCUACCUCUUCACUGUACUAUAGGUUAGACUGUCCAACCUUACGAGCAUACAUCCCUAAACCACUCUAGGUAGCACCUUUCACCAGCAGUACAACCUUAAAGCAUUAUAAUUGAAGAGCCCUACGCUAGGGUUUUUUUUAAAUGUGAUGUCAAGUGAUGUCAAGUGAUGUCAAGUGAUGUCGAGUGAUGUCAAGUGUCAAGUGACAAGUUUGAUGUAUGGAAGCUUAUAAUACUGUUUGGCGUUUCUGACAUGCAGUUACCCGGUGUAUAGCACAAUUGUAUUUGCA